AGAGCUGGCUGCAGUGGAAAAUUUGGGUGGGAGGGAAGGGCGCAGAGAAAGAAAACAAAGGAGCUAUCUAUACAGGGGAGGUCUCAGUUCCUCAGGCAAGGCACACUCCCCACAACCUCCUGGGGCUGCUUCAGGGGUUACAGGACAGCUUGCGCUACAGAACUCUGCCGAUCUCCUGCCUAAGAGGCAGGUGGGGUUUCGGCACCUCUGUGGGUUCUCACUGGCUUCAUUCUGCCGCCUGUUUUGCUGGUGACCAUCUGUCUUGCUGCUGGGUUCCGUGCAAUGGCAUAGUAGUAUGGAAAGCUAAAAACCUCAGCUGAAAUCUUUCCUUUUGUUUUCUCUUUUCCCUGAGCUAUACUAGGUCUGAAGCAAUCUACUUGCAAAUACAAGAGAAAAAUAAUCCAUCCUAUUUGAUGCCCCUCUUCCCUGUUGGGUGGAAAAUGAUUUUUCAGAAAAUUUCCUAUUGGAUAUAUAUUCAGUUUAUGUAUUGUAGUUACAGGCUAUAUUGACAACAUUUUAGGUUUUAUUUUUGGUUCAUUUUUUUUUUUAACAGUACGCAGAGAUCACACAUGCUGCGUGUCCCACGAACUUCAUCCAAGUGUCCAUCUUUCUUUCUCUUUAACUGUAGUGUUUCCCAUCAGAGUAGUAUGAACCCUUCCAUGAACCUCUUGCUAAUUGCUAUGCUGGCACUUCAAGGUAGGAGAGCAGCAAGCUUUUGUCCUUCAGAGGACACUGUGCUCCAUGUGAGUAAGUGGACCAAUGAUGUGUUGGCUCUGGUGUGCUGAGUUCUUUUAAAUGUCAUAGAUCUCAGAAGGUUUCAGUAAUGUUUAAAUUGCAUAUAAAUUCACACCCCCACUGCUCCCUGGAUUGAUCUGCCUGUGAGGCUGGAGGUACUGAAGGUUGGAGGAGGAAGAGGAAUCAGUGUUUGUAUCCCUUGGAAUUGUUUUCAUCAUCCAGUGUCCUUUAUUAGCUCUGUGAACCUGUGGCAUCUGGGGGGCAGUAGCUGGGAUUUCAGUCAUAACCUUGGAAGAGGACAGGAAAGCUGCUAGAACAGAAGGAAAGCAGGAUCAAAGACAAAAGGUAAACAAAAUGGCACUGAACACUUAUAUGCAUACAUUCAACCUUGUAUACUGUAGAUGGGGUUGGUGACUGCCCCCCUUUUCUGAAUCGCAGCAUGCUACAGACAGGGAUCUGCACAUUUACACAAGACUCAAAACCCCCCAGUCUGCAAAAUCACAGGGUUUAGGUGGAACAGUUUAUAGAGAGACUUUACUGCAUAAGUACUGCAGCCCUGAUUCUGUUCUGGGAGCACGUUUUUGAAAGAACACCGCAUGUUGUCCAAGGGCUCAGCAUGUAUUUCAUGGGAUGCUGCUCUAUUGUACCGUAUGGUGGGAGGGAGAAAAACGCCCUGUUCAACUGGAUGAAGUGGAGUCCUGUCAUACGUUUUUGUUUGUUUGUUUGUUUGUUUUUGUUUUAAAAAAAAAAAAACAACCUUUGCUUGCAUUGGAAUAUUCUGAUUCUGAGAAAAUGAUACAUACGUUUAUAUUGAAUGUACGUUAACUCUUGAUUCCAUCAGAAACUAGAGUGUGUGAUUUGCAGUAAGCUUUUAAUUAUGCCCAUUUUUCAUGUGAUGAUAAUUCUUUUAAACCUAUGAGCAUGUAUUUCAAAGCACACUUUGAUAAUGAAGAAUGGACUGUGUCACUGUAACCAGCUGUGGUGCACAGUUAGGAAUAAGAAGGUGUUUAAUAGGGAAGAACUUGAAUGCAUGGACUUCACAGGAAGGAGAUUUAAAACUUCAAUUUUUAUUAGCACCAAAUAUCAAGCAAGUUUCAUGACAACAAGCUGUACUUUCAAGCUGGUAAGUUGUUUAGGGAAAGUGAGUGGGUAAUUAUAUGACACAUUAAUUCAAUUUACGUACUCUUGUGUUUGCAUUUGUUAAUCCACAGUGCCUUCAGUUGUGCACAGGUCUGAGUUCACAGUUUCUGUAGGAAAUGUAGGAGUAUUUUCAGUUAUGAGGUUUAGGGACAUCUCUGUUCUUGAAAGACCAAGUAGCAUAACAUAGCUGCUCACCAGGAGAACAAUCAAAGCACCUCUGACUUCUGGGGCAAAAUAUUCCUGUUUUUCUUUCUAACAUACCUGUCGCGUUCCUGCAGCUGAGCUCAUAGCAUGAAGAAUUUUUCCAAUGGCCCUUCUGCACUUGCAGCCCCGUGCAGUCUCCCUGCUCAGCUAAUGCCAGCGUGACCUUAGAGUUAGGCUACUGUAGUUACAAAGACCGAGGCCAUUGGUGGGGCAGGAGGAGUGCUGAGGAUUGUAAAGAAACUUUCUGUGACUUUGGCUGUCACAAGCAAUCCGGUAUGGGCACGCGAGUGAGAGGAGUUUCCAAGAAAGCACUAGCAGGAGCACCAUGCUGAAGUGCCCUUUUCUGGUAGUACUUGCAAAUGCUUCAUCUUAGUUCAGCCUGUAAACAUCAUUAACUCCCUUGGGAGGAGGGGAGGGCUCGAUUCCUUCAGAAAUGAAAGCAAACUGAAAAUUGUCGUGUAGGAUUUUGGUGUGGGUUUUAUUGUUUUUGGUUUUGUUUCUGUUUUUAGUUUAAGUUGUCUUGGACAGUUAGCUUGCACAAGGAGAAGUGCAGGGUUGCCUACAUUGGUCAUCACCUCAGGACUGCGUGGAUGUAUGUGAGCUUUUCAAAAGAACAGCAGUGGGAAAGCCUCAAGGCUGAGGCUGAGUUCAGCAUCCUGCGUGCUUACUAUUCAAGCUCAGAUACAGUAUCAGAAAUGGCUAAUGGAUUAAUUCAACUGAUUUUUUCAAGGUAAAUUGUGUUAGAAGAAGAAAGAGGAGGAAAAAAAAAAAAGAAAAAACAAUUCCCUGCAGCAUUAGUCUCUCUGGAGAAUGCCAAGCAGCUAGUGGCAGUUCUGCUUGAUCAGAUGUGUAGGAGUGUGCAGGCUUGCAUGAGGGGAACUGAGGACGCUCAGAGAGCGAUUCAGAUGUAGUCGCUAGUUAGGUUCAUAAGUAGGCUGUGACGUGAAUUCCCUGGUCACAGUACUCACUUUUCUCUCCUAUGCAGGGACUGGUCUCCUAGCACAGUGCCAAACCUAAAGUUCCUAAAGCCACGUAGGAUGCCAGUCUUGCAUAGGAUGCAAAGUUAUAUAAAUAACUUCGUUCUCACUGCAUUUGGUAGAGCGGGUCCCUGAGUAACAGGGCAGCCCUGUGUGCAGAACAGCAGGUUUAAAUGGUACAGUACGGGUGGAAGGUCUGGAGCAGCUGCGGGCUUCAGCUGUACAGCCAGGGGAAGGCAUUUGUGCAGGAGGGAGAUGAGGUGCAUCUGAAUAGACUUGCACAAACUGCUUCCUGAAAUCCCUUUAUUUCUCUAGUAAUUUGUAAUAUCUUCAGGACAAAUGCUUCACACCUAAAACUUUUGUCACUGUCAGUAUGGAAAAAUAAAUACAUAAGCAAUACACAUUAACAGUUGCUUUUUAUGCUGUACUUUGUACAAAACUUAGUUUUAUAUAGAUAUAUACAGUUGUAUUUUCUUACGUUGGCUAUGAUUUGAACCACAUCCUGUAAUAGUCCCUUGGAAAUGUCAUGGGAGGUUUAUACUGGAUAAAGGAUCCCAUCCUUUCAAAUUAUUCCUUUAACCACCAGUACUGGGAAGUCUCUGUUAAACACCUCUGUUGUAACAAAAUGUUCUGCCUAAACAAUUUCUGCAGAAGUUAUUUUAACAGAUCAGCCAUUUCAUCACUAAAGAAACAUGUUGUGAGGUGACUUCUAAGCACCCUGCGUAACUCUCUAGCUUGCACUGCUGUAGUGAAUGCUUUCUGGCUGUUUGAGGGAAUGUAAGCUAAGGUGUACUUCCAGGUCAACAAAAAAUCACAGUUUCUGGUGAACAGAAUAACAUACAGUAUUUCUAUGGGGAAAUAGUUUUAUUAAAAAAAAAAAUCAAGGUGUAGGGUAAAAUGACCUACAUAGCCAACUGUUUGGGUUUCAGAAAAACAGCCUUUCAAAUUGCAAUCACUGGGUAAAUUACUAACGAUAGAUUCUUUUUUUUUUUUGUUUUUUUUUUUAACAUACCAGAAAGUAAGGGCUGUGCUUUUGUGUCUCUUUGAAAAUGUUUUUUUGUAUGUUCUUGUUUUUACGUGCUACUGUUAGCACGGUUUCUUUUGUAGCUGCAGUGCUGUUCCACCACAAAGUACUUUAUAGUACACAGCAAGUAUAAUCAGCUAAGCCUGACAUUCCCAGGUUGUGCUAAGUACAUUUCAGAAAAAAAUAGCAGGAUGUCAGCUGAAAUGCUGGGCUAGUUGUUGAUUAAAAUAGAAACACCUCUGUCUGUGCUAACAUGUAGUUCGAAAAGCAAAGACAACUGGACUAGGAUAGCUGCUGGGGAAGGUAGACUAGACUUCAAAUUUUGAAACAAUGGGAUCCUGAAAAACAAUAGCGUACUCUAUUUCCCAGGUUAAAGCUUUAGUGGGAAAAUAAAUCAGGCUGUAAAGGUAAAUAGAGCUGCUCUCUGCCCAUAAAUUUCCAUAACAUUAAUUAACUUAGCAUUUUUGAAAUAUAGAGCCAAUGGUGAAUAAAUGAAAUUGAAAGGCAAAAUGUUUAAAAUACGUUUAAGAAGGGGUGGUUUCUUUAAUGUAUAUGGCAUGAUGAAGUUGUGAAAUUCACUGCUACAAUAUAAGACUGAAGUGGAAAAUCUUCACAGAAUUCAGAAAAAGAAUUAAGGAUAGAUGUGGUUAAUGAGACCAUCUAGUGGCACGUUUAACAGGAUGAAGAAAAUCCAAGGAAUACAAGCCUGCCAGUGACCUAAGGGAGUUGGAAGAAACUUCACCAAAGGACUGGAUUAUCCUUUGAGAUUUCCCGCAACAACCUCUAAAUCUGUGGUUCUCUGCUUUCAGGCCAUGGUCAACCCUAACACUUUCAGUUGUCUGUCUGUGUUGUUCAGAAGGCACUAAAUUUAGAGGCAGUUUCACUCAUGAAGCUGUUUGACCUGGAGGGUGCAAUAAAUUGUAUUGAAAAGGGCAGUAUUAGACAAGACUUCAGACAAGGUACUUGGCUAACCAGACCGUUUUUGAUCUGGCGUAGUAGGAGUUCCUAAUGUUGCAUUUUGGUGUUAAUUUUCUGAGUUUUCCUACACACUUUGUGAAUAUGAGCAACUACCUCAGAAAAGGAGAAGUCAGAUUCUUUCAAAAUUGCCAAUAACACGUUCUGAACAUACCGGUUGGUUUGGGGUGUACAGUUUUUUGCUAUGUUACUAAACACGAUUUCCCCCCCACCCCAGUGUUUUCUGAAAUGUUUCCUGUAUUGACUGUACCUAAUUUCAGGUUGUUCGUAAGAGGAAAAAGAAAGGGGUAUAAAUUUACCUGGAAAUGGGUAAGCUGCUCAAGUUUAAAAAACAAAACCAGAAAAAUAAAGAACCAAUAAGGAAGGACAGAUCAAAUCAAAGAUAGGUAAUGAGAAAUGACAAAAAGAAGUAUGCUAUGUAUUUUUUUAUUGCAUAUAGUGUGGGUGUGUGUGCAUGCUUUCACACCCAUCUUUUGGUAUAUAUAUACUCACUGUAUAGCUUGUAGUGUAGUUCGUUAUAAAGAAUACAAAAGACAUUCUGUUGUAAACUUUAAAGAAUAUUUAAUAAUUUUUUAAAAAUAAAAUGUAUAUUUUAAAUUUUGUUCUUUAUAUGAAUGCACAAAAAUGUAUUAUCAUAGUUGCAGUGACAAAAUCCAAGGAACUGAGGAGACCUGCCCACUGCGGUAAGACACAGGUGAUGCUCUAAGAGAAUUCAUAAUGGAAUCCAAACAAAAUUUCCCAGGGCGAGUCCUGACUUGUUUUCUUACAGUGAAUUGCCUAACUCAGUGUCUACGAAGAUCAUUCACACUUAGCACGAAUUCUUGUGGACAAAGGUAAUAAAGUGUCUGGUUUUAAAAUAAAUGCCACAAUCGGCUUUCUUUUCCCUGCUUACCUUUGGUGCCACACUUAUAGCACAACAAUGAAGCCAAGUGUGAAGUGCAGGGCAGUAACUUUGUCCAUGCUGACAACCUCCUGUCCUGUCUGCGAAUGGGAGGAAGCAGCCUGGAGCCACAUGCAUUGAAAAAUAGAACCAAUUUUUAAUUAGCUUGUGAGAGGGGUGGGUGGAUUCACAUAGCGGCCCUAUUACUGAUGCUAGGUAAUGUUUUUACAACUUCGGUGCAUUUCCUUCCUUUCCAUAUUACAGAUCAUAUAACGCUGCAUUCAAAUGGUAGCUAUUAAAUGGAAGAAUAAACCUUUACAAGUUUAUAUUAUUUGAGGAGGAGGAGUGAAGAAAUGUUCACAGAACAGAAACUGGAGUGAAUUUCAGUGAUUGUGCACUAUAAUACGUAGAGCUAAAUAAUUCUGUGGUACAAGCAGUAAGAUUUGGCUGCUGCUGACAAUUACUGUACAGGAAAAUAAAACACAUUCUAUUAAAUACAUAUAUUCUUAUAAUUGUGAAGAUGAAAAGCCAGAAGUAUAUUGGACUGAAUCUAAAAGCUGAAUCCAGACUUUGCUGAGUUCAGUAGGUCCAGCUGUGUGCCCUAUGCUUUCACAUCUUGUUAUUAAGCAGAAAGAGCAAUGGGUGUAAAUUGGGAGUUCUCUGCUUCACUCUAUUUGUUACCUUUGGUUCUGUCUUUAAAUGUAUUGAGUCUUCCUUCACAUUUAAAAAUAAGUGGAAGUAAUCUAAAAGGCCUUACUAAAAGUGACAAAAACACUAAUGGAAGCAACUGGAAUGACUUCUGGGGUGCUCUGCAUAAAUACAGUAUGAGCACCAUUUUGAAUGUACUACGGGGUGAUUAUAAGCAACCAGUUCAAUGUCAAGUUUUAUGCAUAAAAUGGAACUAUUUUUUGUUGUUGCUUAGAAAAAAAUGCUGCUGUUAAACAUCACAAAACAGUCUGACCUCAGGGGAGAAAGAUGCAAUGCUUUUAGAAAGAAAAUAUGUUAAAGCUGAUUCUUGUUAUAUUCAGUAUAUUCAGAGGUUUGAAACUGGAUUGUGCUGGUAACGCUUUAAGCACCGUAACAUCUGUUUGGCUUGUGUAAAGAGAGUUACUGACAUCAAAUAUAGAAAAUGGUCCAGUGCAAACUAUCAGUAAGUUGCACUAGCAUCUCUGGCAGUUUGUUUUUCUCUUCAGUAGUUGCUGCUGAAUGGUGCUGUUGCAAUGACUGGGAUUUACAAAGUGAGUGUUGCUCAUACUGCCUCGAGAUCGUAUUUUUGAAAAACCAAGGCUGUUUAUCUUGUUGUAAGGAUGCUUGAACUGUGGCAAAUGAUUAGAGAGAACCAGAAUGUGUGAUGUCUCAUCUGCAUUGGUUUCUUUUAUUAUUACUACUCUGUAGGUGUAGCUGAAGUCUGGCAGUCUGCUCUAAGGGUUCAGUGUGUAUUACUGGGAUACUCACAGGAUGAGGGUUGUACUCUGUCGUCUCCCUUCACCACCACCAGGCAAACUGAUGAGAGUUGCCCCAUGUGGGAGUUCUGCUGCACAAUGGUUUGCUCUCAUCACCAAAGCCAUCAGGAUUGCUCUCUGUUAGUUUUUAAUGGCAGAGAUCACUAUGAAUAGACUAGUCUACCUUUUGUCUUAAAAAUCAGUUUUACAAUUGUGUUCAUCAUUCUGCUACGCAGCUUUUCAGUGGUGGAAAUGCAGAGCUGUCAGCAGGAGCACCUGUGAGUACAAACUAUGAAGCGUGGCAAAAACUCGCACUAAUGAUACCUCUAACCUGGAAUUGUUUCUGUGCAGGUAAGAAACAUGGAGAGAGGAAAGGAACAAACUUCUCCCAUCUCUCCAAGAGCAUGAUUGUUGAUGGGUUACCCUGGGCUCAAGGAGCAGAGAGCAUUGAGACCGUGGUGAUUACAACACUGAGAGUAAGUCUUCUGCUCAAGGCACAGGUCACCUGUGUAUUGUGGGCUACUCGCUCAGUUUAACCUCUGUCAUGGGUUGAAGUCUGUUAACAUUUGUGGCUUGUUGGCAUGGCAAUAAAAUUAUUUAGUGGUGGUGAGGUUGCUGUGAGAGAAGUGAUUGGGAAGCUGCACAAAACGCACACAAGUAACGUGUUACUUUGAACUUAGCUUGCACAAUUAAAUGCCCCAUGCUACAGGUACUGAUGUGUAAAAUGGGCAUAAGUGAGCACUGCAGGCCCAGGGGAGGGGGGUUACUGACUAGUGUUAAGGAGAGACUUCAACAGGCCGCGGGGUGGCAAGGCCAGCUUUACUGCUGGAAAUUGCCUUUAAAUCAGGGUAAGCAAAAUUCACUUGUAGCCGAGACAUGCUGUUGUAAGCACUAAAGGUGCUUCUAGUCUGUCCCAGUAAGAAUGACUGCACAGGGCUUUCCGUGAAAAGAGGGCACUGAGGUUGUCUCCCCAGGCUGCUGGCUGUAGCUGAGGUCCUCAAAAGGCUGCUGUGGGGAGCAGGCCAGCUGCAUUGCUCUGCUAGCCUGUUUGCUACCUCCUUUCCCCAGGGUGCUUCAGCUUCUGCCUGCCACAUGUACAUUACCUGGGGCUGCUUGCUCAUGGGGAAUUGUUGGCAGUUUGUUUGAGCAGUAGGAAGCAUGAGAUUCUUAGACAGUGGAAGGUUCAUGCAGAAAGGUACUACAUUAAUUACUUCAGUUACCGAUGUAGGGUGGAGAAUCAGACAACUGGUGGCUGUUUCCUGGCAAAAGGAAAGUACUGACUUUGAUUUCUGCAAAUUCCAGGAAGUGUGGGGCAUGUUCUAGCCAUCAGCCUUUGAAACCAGUAGGAGGGAGAUGGCUGC